AUAAGGUUAAGUUAAUAAGGGCGCACGGUGGAUGCCUUGGCACUAGAAGCCGAAGAAGGACGUGACUAACGACGAAAUGCUUUGGGGAGCUGUAAGUAAGCGCUGAUCCAGAGAUGUCCGAAUGGGGGAACCCACUAGUUAAUGACUAGUAUCCAUAUCUGUUAAGGAUAUGAGAAGGAAGACGCAGUGAACUGAAACAUCUAAGUAGCUGCAGGAAGAGAAAGCAAAAGCGAUUGCCUUAGUAGCGGCGAGCGAAACGGCAGGAGGGCAAACCGAAGUGUUUACACUUCGGGGUUGUAGGACUGCGAUAUAGGAUUAAUCAUUAUAGAAGAAUUACCUGGGAAGGUAAGCCAAAGAGAGUAACAGCCUCGUAUUUAA
rnacentral:rRNA from 1 species